rnacentral:rRNA from 1 species
UACGGGGGAGCAAGCGUUGUUCGGAUUUACUGGGCGUAAAGGGCGCGUAGGCGGCCACCGCAAGUCGACUGUGAAAUCGUCCGGGCUUAACCCGGAAAGGUCAGCCGAUACUGCGGGGCUAGGAGUGCAGAAGGGGCAACUGGAAUUCUCGGGUGUAGCGGUGAAAUGCGUAGAUAUCGAGAGGAACACCUGCGGCGAAGGCGGGUUGCUGGGCUGACACUGACGCUGAUGCGCGAAAGCUAGGGGAGCGAACGGG